rnacentral:rRNA from 1 species
AAUUUUUUUUUAAAAAUUUUAAUUUAUUAAAAAUAAUUAUGAUAUUAAUAGUUUAAGUAUUUUUUAAAAAAUAAAUAAUUUUUAUAAUAGUGUAAUAGUAUUGUGAAAGAAAAUUGAAAUAAAUUGAAAAAUUUUUAUUUUUAAAGAAAAUUUAAUUUAUUGUACCUUUUGUAUCAGGGUUUAUUAAAUAAAUAAUAAAUAUUUAUUUUUCUCGAAUUUAAAAGAGUUAAUUAAUUUUAAAAGUUAAUGUAAUAAAAUUAUUUUUAAAAAUUAAUUAGAAAUGAAAUGUUAUUCGUUUUUAAAGAUAUCUAGUUUUUUAAGAAAUGAAUUUAAUUCAGAAAAUUUAAAUUAUAUAUUUAAUUUUUUAAAUAUAUAAAUUUUUAUUUUUUAUAUUUUAUGGGAUGAGCUAUAAAAUAUUAUUAUAAAUUUUUAAUAAUAAAAAUUAAAAUGUAGGUUUAGAAAUAGCUAUCAUUAAAAAUUUGUUAUAAUUUAUUUUUAUAUUUAUAUUAUUUAAUUUAUUUUAAUUUAAUAUUAAAAUUUUAAUUUUAAUUAUAAAAAUUAAGUAAUAAUGAUAAAAUUAGUAUAUAUUUAUGUAUAAUAUAUUUUUAUAUGUUAAGUUUUAAUAAAGAAUUCGGCAAAAUUAAUAUUCGCCUGUUUAACAAAAACAUGUCUUUUUGUAAUAAAUAAAAAGUCUGACCUGCCCAAUGAAUAUUUAAAUGGCCGCAGUAUUUUGACUGUGCAAAGGUAGCAUAAUCAUUAGUUUUUUAAUUGAAGGCUGGAAUGAAUGGUUGGACGAAAUAUUAACUGUUUCAUUAAAAUUUAUUAUAGAAUUUUAUUUUUUAGUUAAAAAGCUAAAAUUUAUUUAAAAGACGAGAAGACCCUAUAAAUCUUUAUAUUUUAUUUAUUUAAAUUAUUUAUAUUUAUUUAAUUUUUAUAAUUUAAAAUAUUUUAUUGGGGUGAUAUUAAAAUUUAAUUAACUUUUAAUUUUAAUAAUCAUUAAUUUAUGUUUUAUUGAUCCAAUUUUAUUGAUUAAAAAUUUAAGUUACUUUAGGGAUAACAGCGUAAUUUUUUUGGAGAGUUCAUAUCGAUAAAAAAGAUUGCGACCUCGAUGUUGGAUUAAGAUAUAAUUUUAGGUGUAGAAGUUUAAAAUUUAAGUCUGUUCGACUUUAUAUUCUUACAUGAUCUGAGUUCAAACCGGCGUAAGCCAGGUUGGUUUCUAUCUUUAAACUAUUAAUAUAUUUUAGUACGAAAGGAUUAAAUAUAUGAAUAAUUAUAUUUUUUUUUAGAAUAUUAUUAAUU